rnacentral:rRNA from 1 species
AGUGAACGCUGGCGGUAGGCCUAACACAUGCAAGUCGAACGGCAGCACAGUAAGAGCUUGCUCUUACGGGUGGCGAGUGGCGGACGGGUGAGGAAUACAUCGGAAUCUACUUUUUCGUGGGGGAUAACGUAGGGAAACUUACGCUAAUACCGCAUACGACCUACGGGUGAAAGCAGGGGAUCUUCGGACCUUGCGCGAUUGAAUGAGCCGAUGUCGGAUUAGCUAGUUGGCGGGGUAAAGGCCCACCAAGGCAACGAUCCGUAGCUGGUCUGAGAGGAUGAUCGGCCACACUGGAACUGAGACACGGUCCAGACUCCUACGGGAGGCAGCAGUGGGGAAUAUUGGACAAUGGGCGCAAGCCUGACCCAGCCAUGCCGCGUGGGUGAAGAAGGCCUUCGGGUUGUAAAGCCCUUUUAUUGGGAAAGAAAAGCAGCAGGUUAAUACCCCGCUGUUCUGACGGUACCCAAAGAAUAAGCACCGGCUAACUUCGUG